UACGUAGGGUGCAAGCGUUAUCCGGAAUUAUUGGGCGUAAAGAGCUCGUAGGCGGUUUGUCGCGUCUGCUGUGAAAACUGGAGGCUCAACCUCCAGCCUGCAGUGGGUACGGGCAGACUAGAGUGCGGUAGGGGGAGAUUGGAAUUCCUGGUGUAGCGGUGGAAUGCGCAGAUAUCAGGAGGAACACCGAUGGCGAAGGCAGGUCUCUGGGCAUUAACUGACGCUGAGGAGCGAAAGCAUGGGGAGCGAACAGG
rnacentral:rRNA from 1 species